rnacentral:rRNA from 1 species
AUUGAACGCUGGCGGCAGGCUUAACACAUGCAAGUCGAGCGGGGUGAUGGUGCUUGCACUAUCACUUAGCGGCGGACGGGUGAGUAAUGCUUAGGAAUCUGCCUAUUAGUGGGGGACAACAUCUCGAAAGGGAUGCUAAUACCGCAUACGUCCUACGGGAGAAAGCAGGGGAUCACUUGUGACCUUGCGCUAAUAGAUGAGCCUAAGUCGGAUUAGCUAGUUGGUGGGGUAAAGGCCUACCAAGGCGACGAUCUGUAGCGGGUCUGAGAGGAUGCUCCGCCACACUGGGACUGAGACACGGCCCAGACUCCUACGGGAGGCAGCAGUGGGGAAUAUUGGACAAUGGGGGGAACCUUGAUCCAGCCAUGCCGCGUGUGUGAAGAAGGCCUUAUGGUUGUAAAGCACUUUAAGCGAGGAGGAGGCUACUUUAGUUAAUACCUAGAGAUAGUGGACGUUACUCGCAGAAUAAGCACCGGCAAACUCUGUGCCAGCAGCCGCCGUAA